GCCGGAGUGGUGGAAUUGGUAGACACGACGGAUUCAAAAUCCGUUGCCUUCGGGCGUGCCGGUUCAAGUCCGGCUUCCGGUA
rnacentral:tRNA from 1 species